UACGGAGGGUGCGAGCGUUGUCCGGAAUCACUGGGCGUAAAGGGCGCGUAGGCGGCCUGAUAAGUAGGGGGUGAAAUCCUGCGGCUUAACCGCAGGGCUGCCUUCUAAACUGUCGGGCUCGAGCACGGUAGAGGCAGAUGGAAUUCCCGGUGUAGCGGUGGAAUGCGUAGAGAUCGGGAGGAACAUCAGUGGCGAAGGCGGCCAUCUGGGACAACACUGACGCUGAAGCACGAAAGCGUGGGGAGCAAACAGG
rnacentral:rRNA from 1 species